rnacentral:rRNA from 1 species
AUUAGACGAAUCAUCUGGAAAGAUGAAUCAAAGAAGGUAAUAAUCCUGUAGUCGAAAAUGUUGUCUCUCUUGAGUGGAUCCUGAGUACGACGGAGCACGUGAAAUUCCGUCGGAAUCUGGGAGGACCAUCUCCUAAGGCUAAAUACUCUCUAGUGACCGAUAGUGAACCAGUACCGUGAGGGAAAGGUGAAAAGCACCCCGGAAGGGGAGUGAAAUAGAACCUGAAACCGUGUGCUUACAAGUAGUCAGAGCCCGUUAAUGGGUGAUGGCGUGCCUUUUGUAGAAUGAACCGGCGAGUUACGAUUUGAUGCAAGGUUAAGCAGUAAAUGUGGAGCCGUAGCGAAAGCGAGUCUGAAUAGGGCGUUUAGUAUUUGGUCGUAGACCCGAAACCAGGUGAUCUACCCUUGGUCAGGUUGAAGUUCAGGUAACACUGAAUGGAGGACCGAACCGACUUACGUUGAAAAGUGAGCGGAUGAACUGAGGGUAGCGGAGAAAUUCCAAUCGAACCUGGAGAUAGCUGGUUCUCUCCGAAAUAGCUUUAGGGCUAGCCUCAAGUGAUGAUUAUUGGAGGUAGAGCACUGUUUGGACGAGGGGCCCCUCUCGGGUUACCGAAUUCAGACAAACUCCGAAUGCCAAUUAAUUUAACUUGGGAGUCAGAACAUGGGUGAUAAGGUCCGUGUUCGAAAGGGAAACAGCCCAGACCACCAGCUAAGGUCCCAAAAUAUAUGUUAAGUGGAAAAGGAUGUGGCGUUGCCCAGACAACUAGGAUGUUGGCUUAGAAGCAGCCAUCAUUUAAAGAGUGCGUAAUAGCUCACUAGUCGAGUGACACUGCGCCGAAAAUGUACCGGGGCUAAACAUAUUACCGAAGCUGUGGAUUGUCCUUUGGACAAUGGUAGGAGAGCGUUCUAAGGGC